AUUGAACGCUGGCGGCAGGCCUAACACAUGCAAGUCGAGCGGAUGAAGGGAGCUUGCUCCUGGAUUCAGCGGCGGACGGGUGAGUAAUGCCCAGGAAUCUGCCUGGUAGUGGGGGAUAACGUCCGGAAACGGGCGCUAAUACCGCAUACGUCCUGAGGGAGAAAGUGGGGGAUCUUCGGACCUCACGCUAUCAGAUGAGCCUAGGUCGGAUUAGCUAGGUGGUGGGGUAAAGGCCUACCAAGGCGACGAUCCGUAACUGGUCUGAGAGGGUGAUCAGUCACACUGGAACUGAGACACGGUCCAGACUCCUACGGGAGGCAGCAGUAGGGAAUAUUGGACAAUGGGCGAAAGCCUGAUCCAGCAACGCCGCGUGUGUGAAGAAGGUCUUCGGAUUGUAAAGCUCUUUAAGUAGGGAAGAAGGACAGUGAAUUAAUACCUUGCUGUUUUGACGUUACCAACAGAGUAAGCACCGGCUAACUUCGUG
rnacentral:rRNA from 1 species